GUGCUCACUUCAGCAGCACAUAUACUAAAAUUGGAACAAUACAGAGAAUAUUAGCAUGGCCCUUGUGCAAGGAUGACACACAAAUUUGUGAAGCAUUCCACUCUUGU